rnacentral:rRNA from 1 species
CAGUCGCCACGGGAAUACGAAGGGGGCUAGCGUUGUUCGGAUUUACUGGGCGUAAAGGGCGCGUAGGCGGACUGAUAAGUCAGGGGUGAAAGCCCGGGGCUCAACCUCGGAAUUGCCUUCGAUACUGGCUGUCUUGGGUAUGAGAGAGGUGUGUGGAACUCCGAGUGUAGAGGUGAAAUUCGUAGGUAUUCGGAAGAACAUCAGUGGCGAAGGCGACACACUGGCUCAUUACUGACGCUGAGGCGCGAAAGCGUGGGGAGCAAACAGGAUUAGAUACCCCUGUAGUCCCUGUCUCUUAUAC